AAAGCUAUUCAGGACCAGGAACAACUGCGCCAAGUGACUGAAAACAACCACAUUCAAUUGCCUCUCCAACAAGUCUACCAACUGGGUGCAAUUCUACCACCCUAUACCUUGUGGUUUUACCCUCCACAAGUCAUGCAGCAUAUUGCCUACCCACCACUCUAUGAAGUCACUAAACCCAUUGUCUCCAAGAACAUUGAAAACAUUGGUGUUGUGCCAGAGUGGUAGAAAAAUUAAGAUUUCUCAGGAACUCCACAGUUACGGCCCUUGAUGUGACUGAAAAUUCCAUUCUCUAAAUUUCCCCUCUCAUGUAAAACCAUCAUACAAAGGCUGCAACUGUUAUUUUAGAAUAAGACAAUCCCAAAUUGAAGGCAGCCUUUCUUUUUGAGUUCUCUACUGUGUAUUAAAUAGAAUAUCAUUAUUUUUCUUAAGCUAAACUUUCCUAAAAGUUUAUUGUCUAAAUUUUAGUUAUAUCAUGCCAGGGUGAAGGCUACUGAAUCAGAGCAUAUUGAAGUCUUUACUAAGUUUCUGUGAUGGAAAUUUUGUUUAAAAAGUCUUUGAAUUGCUUCUUCUGUAAGUGCCAUCCUUUAAUGUAAUUGUGCACAGCGACUGAGAUUUUUCCUUUUCUUUUCAAUAAAUUAUAAUUUCAAGG